CGUGCCUAACACAUGCAAGUCGAACGUGAAAGUCCUUCGGGAUGAGUAAAGUGGCGCACGGGUGAGUAACACGUAGGUGACCUGCCUUUUAGAGGGGAAUAACCAGAAGAAAUUUUGGCUAAUGCCGCAUACGAAGCACGGUUUUAAGACUGUGCUUGAAAGAAUGCCUCUGCAUAUGCAUUCGCUAUUAGAUGGGCCUGCGGGACAUUAGCUAGUUGGUGGGGUAAAGGCCUACCAAGGCGACGAUGUCUAUCCGGUCUGAGAGGAUGAUCGGACACACUGGAACUGAGACACGGUCCAGACUCCUACGGGAGGCAGCAGUGGGGAAUAUUGCGCAAUGGGGGAAACCCUGACGCAGCAACGCCGCGUGAGUGAGGAAGGACUUCGGUCUGUAAAGCUCUGUUAAUGUGGAAAAAUGGCAGUUGGUCUAAUAGGCCGAUUGUUUGAUGGUACACAUAGAGGAAGCACCGGCUAACUUCGUGCCAGCAGCCGCGGUAAUACGAAGGGUGCAAGCGUUGUUCGGAUUUAUUGGGCGUAAAGCGCGCGUAGGCGGACCUGCAAGUCAGAUGUGAAAUCUCGGGGCUCAACCUCGAAACUGCGUCUGAAACUACAGGUCUAGAAUCUCGGAGGGGGAAGGGGAAUAUCGCAUGUAGGGGUAAAAUCCGUAGAUAUGCGAUGGAACACCAGAGGCGAAGGCGCCUUCCUGGACGAGUAUUGACGCUGAGGCGCGAAAGCGUGGGGAUCAAACAGGAUUAGAUACCCUGGUAGUCCACGCUGUAAACGAUGAACACUAGAUAUUGGAGGAUUUGACCCCUUCAGUGUCGUAGCUAACGCGUUAAG
rnacentral:rRNA from 1 species